CUACACUAACCAUGGUUUAACUAUGGUUUUUGAAAGCCAUGGUUGUCAAAACCAUGGUUAUUUUGUGGUAGCCAUGGUUUUACUACAGUAACCAUGGUUUUUUGGUCUUAACUGUAGUAAAACCAUGGUUAAUUUUCGUAAGGGGUGCUACUCACCGAGUGGUUCGUGGUGUUCGUUGAUGAUUAAAAACAAGUAGUGUAGCGAAAUACAGUUUCUGUGGUGUUUUAUUUGGCAUUUUGUAAAAUUCCAUUGACUUCUCUUGGAAGACUCAUUGCUCGCUGAUAUAUCACUCUGCCGCCGGAAAUGGAAAAGGGGUCUGUUUACAUCUGGUUGUAGUUUUUUCGCUCGGUUUCUCUCAGAAGGCCAGCAUGAGCAGAGCAACUGUGCCCUCGGAGUAGGGCACAAAUUUUUCCCAUAUUUGAUGGCUCAGUGACCAGCCUUAGGUUUGAAGUUGAGCUCGAUUGUGACUGUCUAUACGCUAGACACCAAGUUCCGUUCAGCAUCCUUGUAAGGUGAAGUGGUUGUCGCCAUCAAGUGGUCAAGAGUGUGCUAACGCUUCAGACUCAAAUAUAGAGCGGAAGUAUAUACGUGGUUGUGAGGUGUCUGAAAAAAUAGAUCCACUAUAGCAAAUAACACGGAUUGAAAUCAUACAUUGCUCUGAUAUAUUUGUUUUUAAUCAUCAACGAACACCACAAACCACUCUGCGAGUAGCACAGUUUUGAAAAUGAACGUUAAGUGUUGUUUUAAUGACAUGUUUGUGCAUGGCCCUUGACUUCCAUUCUGAAGCAGUCAAGAGACGCUUCUAAACAAGUCAAAAAGUCAAGACACGACCCAUUGUCAAAAUUUCAGUGACCAUCACUGUAGUUCAUCCAAAACAAACCAGAAAUGAGACUCAAAGUGUUUAAUACCGGAAUUAUUCUUUAAGACUUUUUUCUUUAACAAAGCAUUCACAUAAAUUGUCUAGUAAAUUAUAUUUAUCUCGCAAAAGUUAGCUUGUAUGGAACAAAGCAUUCACAUAACUCGUCUGGGUAAUUUACUAAUGCCGCAAUAGCUAGCCUGUCUGGAACCGAGCAGAUAUUAAAACACAACACUGUGUGACACUUGCAUUACCUGUGAAUGGCCCCUACGCUAAUAGGAUUUUGUUUCUCUCUCCCUGUCUCGUCCUCAAACCCGAGGACAUUGAGACAAACGGACCAGUUCCGGCUGCCGUGGAGGUCAGCACACCACUGAUCUACUGGCUGCCCUUCAACGUGAUGCCCAGCCGAUGCCUGACCACCGACGGAACCCGUUAAAUCUCCUUAUCCGUUUACAUCCCAUCAAGCAACAUUGGCUUAACUUAGCACCCUCUUGAAUAGGAGACAUUAUUCAUUUGCUCGCUUAUGCAGUGAGGGAGUGAUUCCCCAACAUCGAGGUGGCAGAGAUCCGGGACCUUCUACGGAGGAAGUGCAACAAUGCCAGUUACAAGGCCUCAAGUAGUUCAAAUCAGAGCUAGAUGUCCAUAUAGUACAAGUUGUUCGCAAUUGUUCUCUUCCCGGCAUUUCAAAGAAAGUUGACUGUUUAAGGUUCCCCAUUUUGCCAAUAUCUGUUUUGUGUGUUACUUUUGUGUCAUUAAUAAAGAUUCUUUUUUUAAAUGCA